GUAAUUCGCGUUUUAAUUGAAGAUAUGUCCCGUCCCUCUUAUUGAAGGUGAUAAUUUUUGAUCCACAUAUAUAUAGAGGUUGAUUUCCUUGCAGUGUUUUUAGACCAUUUUACAGUUUAUAAAAUGCUAUAUGUCAGAGUAUUUGGCUCCUUCACGUGAGUAAUUUACAAAACUGCUAAUAUAUUAUGUGAGUAAUUUUUUUAUUUAAAUUAUUUUUCUAUUUUUAUCAAUUUUAAAUGUUGAAUAUUUUGUUGUAUUCACAGAUUAUAAAUGGCUUACAAGAAAAAGUUGGUUAAUAAGAAAAGAUUUACAUGAAGGCCUUAAGUUCCAACUCCAACACCAACUCGUCAAGUUCCAAUGUUAUUUUAGAUUAUGAAUGUUACAAUGAAUAAUGUUAAUGAUGUUAUUAUGAUU
rnacentral:lncRNA from 1 species